UACGUAGGGUGCAAGCGUUGUCCGGAAUUAUUGGGCGUAAAGAGCUCGUAGGCGGUCUGUCGCGUCUGCUGUGAAAACUCGGGGCUUAACCCCGGGCCUGCAGUGGGUACGGGCAGACUAGAGUGCGGUAGGGGAGACUGGAAUUCCUGGUGUAGCGGUGAAAUGCGCAGAUAUCAGGAGGAACACCCGUGGCGAAGGCGGCACUCUGGGACGGUACUGACGCUGAGACGCGAAAGCGUGGGGAGCGAACAGG
rnacentral:rRNA from 1 species